rnacentral:rRNA from 1 species
GUGGGGAAUAUUGGACAAUGGGCGAAAGCCUGAUCCAGCCAUGCCGCGUGAGUGAUGAAGGCCUUAGGGUUGUAAAGCUCUUUCAGUAGGGAAGAUAAUGACGGUACCUACAGAAGAAGCCCCGGCUAACUUCGAGCCAGCAGCCGCGGUAAUACGAAGGGGGCUAGCGUUGUUCGGAUUUACUGGGCGUAAAGCGCACGUAGGCGGUUCGUUAAGUCGGGGGUGAAAUCCUGGAGCUCAACUCCAGAACUGCCUUCGAUACUGGCGAUCUUGAGUCCGGAAGAGGUGAGUGGAACUCCUAGUGUAGAGGUGGAAUUCGUAGAUAUUAGGAAGAACACCAGUGGCGAAGGCGGCUCACUGGUCCGGUACUGACGCUGAGGUGCGAAAGCGUGGGGAGCAAACAGGAUUAGAUACCCUUGUAGUCC